AUACGGAAGGUCCGGGCGUUAUCCGGAUUUAUUGGGUUUAAAGGGAGCGCAGGCGGAGAUGCAAGCGUGACGUCAAAUUUCGGGGCUCAACCCCGUCUCGCGUCGCGAACUGCGUCCCUUGGUUGCGGGAAGGGGAGGCGGAACUCGUGGGGUAGCGGUGGAAUGCAUAGAUAUCACGAAGAACUCCGAUCGCGAAGGCAGCCUUCCGGCCCGUCAACGACGCUCAUGCUCGAAGGUGCGGGUAUCAAACAGGAUUGGAUACCCUGGUAGUCCGCACAGUAAACGAUGGACACCCGCGGUUUGGCCUAUAUGGCUGAGCCGCCAAGCGAAAGCGUUAAGUGUCCCACCUGGGGAGUACGCCGGCAACGGUGAAACUCAAAGGAAUUGACGGGG
rnacentral:rRNA from 1 species